CAACCCUUAAGCCUCAGUUGCUUAGCGUUGGGACUCUACGACCUAUUAUAGCGUAGUUCCUUAAAGUUAGUGGCGGAGUUAUAGCACACUCUAAGCGUAGUAAUUCUCUCUCGCUUCUUGUAGUGGUUAUGAUUGCUAGCCAUAAAACACCCCCUAUUUUAAU
rnacentral:misc_RNA from 1 species